rnacentral:lncRNA from 1 species
GGCCGGGCUAUCUACUCAGAAUAUUGCAAAAUGUGCUUUCACCGAAAAGCUAUUUUAAAAUCGGACACCGCGAUUGCAUAAAGGAGUUCUGUAUCUAUAAUUCUUAAAAUAAUUGUUAUGUUUUUGUGAACGUUUAUCUUGAGUAAUUUAGUAAAUUCACCAGAAGUUUUCGGUGGGUAUGCUAGUUCUGAACGUCACAUGCUAAUGUAAAAAGCUGGUUUUUGAUAUAAAUAUGAACUUGAUUGAACAAAACAUGCAUGUAUUGUAUAACAUAAUGUCCUAGGAGUGUCAUCUGAUGAAGAUCAUCAAAGGUUAGUGCUGCAUUUAGCUGUGGUUUUGGUUUUUGUGACAUUAUAUGCUAGCUUGAAAAAUGGGAGUGUGAUUAUUUCUGGCUGGGUACUCUCCUGACAUAAUCUAAUGUUUUGCUUUCGUUAUAAAGCCUUUUUGAAAUCGGACAAUGUGGUUAGAUAAAGGAGAGUCUUGUCUUGAAGUUUUUGGAUUUCUGAGGUGUUUGUAAUUCACGCCACGCUCUAUCAUUGGAUAUUGGCGAGGCCUUCCGCUAGCGGCACAUCUAGAUGUAAGAGGUUUAAGCAAUGGCUCGAGACCAAAAAAACUUACGGUUGACAUGGACACUUUUUUUGGGGCCACACCAGUCUGGUAACGUCGCUCAUCUGACAGGGAUGCUCCAUAGUACUUCACUGGUCUGCGGAGUCCAGGGGUUUCGUUGUAGCACAAAGCUAUGGUAGAGGCCUCCAGAGUGUAGUAGUUUGUGUAAUUACUUUCGCCUUUUAUUCUGGGGGGCAAGUCCAAUGCAUUCAGGAAAUGUAGAAGAAAGCUUUUUAUUCCCUCUUCCUCUUCACAUCGACAAAUCCUGACAGCCUGAAAAACAAAGAAGUGAAACAUGCAAUAUUCAACAAAUUAUAAGCUACAUGGACAAUACAUGUUUUAUAUGUGUUUUAUUGUCAUUGUUUAGUGUUAAUUUUGUUGAUGUGGAAAUUGGUCGAGGACAAAAGCUUCAGGUUAAAUACAUUCCAUUUACACACUUACCAAAGUCAGAAGAUUGGAAAAUGGAGUCUGGUGGGGUGGAUACUUGUAAUUGUGGAAUGCCUGUGGAAAUCUUCUUUCUAAAUCGUACAUCACAAGCCUACCCUCACGAGACUCAAAGAAGGCAUUUGGAAGAAGACUGGCCUGAUGAAUGUGACCUAAGAAAAAGAUGCUAUGAAGCAACUUUUAACAAACAUGAAUAAUGAAUAACAUAAUUAACAAACAAUGUAUAACAUAACAAGAUCAAUUAAUAAUUGUUUGUUCUAGAAACAAUUCAUUUGUAACAUGUAUAGUAAACCAAAAAUAUGCUAAAUGUGUGGGAAUGUAUUUUAAGCAUAUGAUUAGUGUAUUUAAUUAGGCGAUGUGUACCAUAUUCACGUAAUGUUGUAUUCCGUCAACUCCCAUCCUCAGGCGACUCCUCCAAAGCCUUACAACCUGUCUAAUAAAUGCUGUUCCUGAUGACUUUAAGCUUCCAUCAUUUCUUUUCCUCCAUUCCAGACAAGUAGCUGUUGGUCUCCUAAAAAGUGGUAUUGUAAAGUUUAAUAAAGAUCACGCACAGUAAGUAAUGAUUUUUAAAAAUGCUG